UAGGGAAUCUUCCGCAAUGGACGCAAGUCUGACGGAGCAACGCCGCGUGAGUGAAGAAGGAUUUCGGUUCGUAAAACUCUGUUGUUAGAGAAGAACAGCGCAUAGAGUAACUGUUAUGCGUGUGACGGUAUCUAACCUGAAAGCCACGGCUAACUACGUGCCAGCAGCCGCGGUAAUACGUAGGUGGCAAGCGUUGUCCGGAUUUAUUGGGCGUAAAGCGAGCGCAGGCGGUCAAUUAAGUCUGAUGUGAAAGCCCCCGGCUCAACCGGGGAGGGUCAUUGGAAACUGGUUGACUUGAGUGCAGAAGAGGAGAGUGGAAUUCCAUGUGUAGCGGUGAAAUGCGUAGAUAUAUGGAGGAACACCAGUGGCGAAGGCGACUCUCUGGUCUGUAACUGACGCUGAGGCUCGAAAGCGUGGGUAGCAAACAGG
rnacentral:rRNA from 1 species